AUGCAAAAAUUUGGAUCAGCAUUGCGUCUUCGGUGGCUCUGGUUCCGGUGGGCCGACCAGCCUCGCACUUGGGCUGGCAUGCCGGUGCCUUGCUCGGACGAGGAAUUCUCUAUGUUCGCCUCAGCCACGACGGUCCGCAUCGGAGAUGGCUGCACGAUCCUUUUUUGGUUCGAUGCAUGGUUGGAUGGCAUGGCUCCCCGAGAUUUGGCUCCCUCCCUUUUUGCCAUUUCCUGCAGGAAGAGGAGGACAGUGGCUGCAGCUAUGAGCAAUUCUACAUGGCUGCGGGAUCUCUCUCAUGGUUUUCAAGAUGACAUGCUCGACGAGUUCAUUGAUCUGUCUGCACGGCUACAACGCGUCACGAUACAACAUGGUGUCAGGGACUCCAUCAUUUGGAAACUGACCUCGGACGGAGUCUACUCGACUCAGUUCGGCGUAUCAGUUAUUGUUCUCUGGAUUUGA
rnacentral:rRNA from 1 species